GACGAACGCUGGCGGCGUGCCUAAUACAUGCAAGUCGAGCGGACUUAUUUGAGUAGCUUGCUAUUUGGAUAAGUUAGCGGCGGACGGGUGAGUAACACGUGGGUAAUCUGCCUCGUAGUCUGGGAUAACAGGCCGAAAGGUUUGCUAAUACCGGAUGAGUUCGUGUUUCUGCAUAGGGACACGAAGAAAGGGGAAACCCGCUAUGAGAUGAGCCCGCGUCCCAUUAGCUAGUUGGUGGGGUAAAGGCCUACCAAGGCGACGAUGGGUAGCCGGCCUGAGAGGGUGGACGGCCACACUGGGACUGAGACACGGCCCAGACUCCUACGGGGGGCAGCAGUAGGGAAUCUUCGGCAAUGGGCGAAAGCCUGACCGAGCGACGCCGCGUGAGGGACGAAGGCCUUCGGGUUGUAACCUCUGUCUGGGGGACGAGAACGGACGGUACCCCGGACGGAAGCCCCGGCUAACGUACGUG
rnacentral:rRNA from 1 species